rnacentral:rRNA from 1 species
GGCGGACGGGUAGUAAUGCCUAGUGAAUCUAGCUGGUAGUGGGGGAUAACGUCCGGAAACGUCCGCUAAUACCGCAUAGGUCCUGAGGGAGAAAGUGGGGGAUCUUCGGACCUUCACGCUAUCAGAUGAGUCUUAGGUCGGAUUAGCUAGUUGGUGGGGUAAAGGCCUAGCUAAGGCGAGAUCCGUAACUGGUCUGAGAGGAUGAUCAGUCACACUGGAACUGAGACACGGUCCAGACUCCUGCGGGAGGCAGCAGUGGGGAAUAUUGGACAAUGGGGAAAGCCUGAUCCAGCCAUGCGCGUGUGUGAAGAAGGGUCUUCGGAUUGUAACAGCACUUUAGAGUUGGGAGGAAGGGCAGUAAGUUAAUACGCGUGCUGUUUUGACGUUACCACAGACUAAGCACCUGGCUAACUUCGUGCCAGCAGCCGCGGUAAUACGAAGGGUGCAAGCGUUAAUCGGAAUUACUGUGCGUAAAGCGCGCGUAGGUGGUUCAGCAGUUGGAUGUGAAAUCCCCGGGCUCAACCUGGGAACUGAUCCAAAACUACUGCAGCUAAGGUACGGUAGAGGGUGGUGAGAAUUUCCUGUGUAGCGGUGAACUGCGUAGAGAUAGGAAGGAACACCAGUGGCGAAGGCGACUCACCUGGAUGAUACUGACACUGAGGUGCGAAAGCGUGGGAGCCAAACAGGAUUAGAUCACCCUGGUAGUCCACGCCGUAAACGAUGUCGACUAGCCGUUGGGAUCCUUGAGAUCUUAGUGGAGCAGCUAACGCGUAUAAUCGACGCCUGGGGAGUACGGCCGCAAGGUUAUAACUCACAUGAAUUACGGUGGCCCGCACAGGCGGUGGAGCAGUGGUUUAAUUCGAAGCAACGCGAAGAACCUUAGCCUGGCCUUGACUACGCUGAGAACUUUCCAGAGAUGGCUUGGUGCCUUCGGGAACUCAGACACAGGUGCUGCAUGGCUGUCGUCAGCUCGUGUCGUGAGAUGUUGGGUUAAGUCCCGUAACGAGCGCAACCCUUGUCCUUAGUUACCAGCACCUCGGGUGGGCACUCUAAGAGACUGCCGAGUGACAAACCGGAGGAAGGUGGGGAUGACGUCAAGUCAUGCAUGGCCCCUUACGGCC